CCAAACCCAAAUUCCCAAAAACAUACACUUUCAAAUCGGUGCAAACCCUAAUUACACACACACAAAAACAAACUUAUACGCUACUUCGCGUAUUGUGUGUGAAAAAGAAAAAGAAGCUGAAAAUGGAUUCAGAUGAAGGGAAACUUUUCUUAGGUGGAAUAGCAUGGGAAACAACUGAAGAAAGAUUAAAUGAUUAUUUCACCAAAUACGGCGUCGUUUCACAGACUGUUAUCAUGCGAGACAAGAUCACUGGUCGUCCACGUGGAUUUGGUUUUGUUGUUUUUGCAGAUCCCUCUGUUCUUGAUUCUGUUCUUCAAGAUAGACACACCAUUGAUGGCAGAAAUGUGGAAGCUAAGAGGGCUUUAUCCAGAGAAGAACAACAAGCGUCUAAGCCUGCGAAUAAUGCCGGCAGAAACUCUGGAGGAACUGGAAAUUACAGAACCAAAAAGAUAUUUGUUGGUGGAUUGCCUUCCACAUUAACAGAAGAACAAUUCCGCCAGUAUUUUGAAAGUUAUGGAGAUGUUACUGAUGUUGUAAUUAUGUUUGACCAAAAUACUAACAGGCCUCGUGGAUUUGGUUUCAUAUCCUUUGAUACAGAAGAUGCUGUUGAUAGAGUCAUUCAGAAGACAUUCCAUGAGCUCAACAAUAAGCUGGUUGAGGUAAAACGAGCACUCCCUAAAGACGCAAACCCCGGAGGUGGUGGUGGUGGCGGCGGCGGCCGUGGUGGAGGUUAUCAAGGUCACAAUGCUGGCUCGUUUGAUAGUCAGAUGGAUGGUAAUAGAUUCACGCAGCAACAAAACUCAGGUGGUGGCUACCCUGCAUAUUCGGGUUAUGGUCAACCAAGUUAUGGCUAUGGUGCACCGAAUGGUAAUACUGGUUAUGGAAGUUAUGGUGCUGCUGGUUAUGGUGCUCCCGCUGGAGGAUAUGGCAACCCAAAUGCAGGUAGUAAUCCUGGUGCAUUGAAAAGCCCAUGGGGUGGUGGUCAGACUCCCGGCUAUGGUGGUGCAGGUUAUGGUGCAAACACGGGCUAUGGCGGUGCAGGUUAUGGUGCGAACACGGGUUAUGGUGGUGCAGGCUAUGGUGCACCGGUGGGUCAAUCUCCAAGUGGGGGUUCCAGUUAUGGGAACCAAGGUUAUGGGUAUGGUAACUAUGGGACUAAUGAAGGCUACAAUACAAAUACUGCCGGAUAUGGAGCAGCAGCUGGUGGCCGACCUGGGCCAGGUGUUGCUGCAAAUAGCAUGGUUGGAAGUGGCGUAGAUCAACAAGGGCCAAGUGGUGGUGGCUAUAUGGGUGGUCCUUAUAACGGGCAGCCUGGUUACUCUAAUGCUGCCUGGAGAUCCGACACUUAAAGAAUGCGCAGUACCAGACUCCAAACGGGUUGGAUUGCCUGAAUCUUGGAAGUAACAAAGUAAUGAAGCUUUGGAGUUAUGAACCCAAUCAGUAAUAGCUGUCGAGUUCUUGGGUGGUUGAACUUUGAUGCCCUGUCCCCAAAAUGCAGGAGGUAGAUCUUAAACAUAUAUUGCACGAAUUUGAGUUUGGGCAAAUGGGUUGGAGAGUCCAGAGUUGUCUUGCUUUAACAGGAAAAGUUUUAUCAUUAUUAACUUGAUUUUUUUUUUAUUUAUAAAUUCUUUAAUAAUCCACCUCACAAAUGUAGGAUAUGAGAUUCGAACUUUGAUGAACUAUCCCAAGGUCAAAACUAUUAACACUUG